rnacentral:sRNA from 1 species
GUUCUGUCUGCCGCCGAUCUAA